AUCGUGCGAAUUUUGUCAACGAGGUUAAUUUUAAACUGUUUACAAGAUGGGUACUUUGGAGUAUUUUAUGCAAUUAGUAUUCGAAUUUCAUGUUUUUUACUUCUUUAAUUCAGGUUCUCGAAUUCACAAAUUGUUCCUUUCCACCGUUUUAUGUAUGAUGAACAUUGCAGUGUUAAUCACAAGCCAUCACCUCUGACCGUGUAUGACGGUCUGUUCACGGUCGACGUUCUCAUGUUGAUCUCGCUGACUAUUUCUUUAUUAUGGAUUGCUGAAGUGUUGAGACGUAUAAAGAUUACAUUUUUUCCAUGUGAAAAGUGUUUUGGUCACGAUGUCUUCAACGUAGUUCUGAUGAUUCUUCAAGUUUUUACAUUUCAUUACACAUCGUGUUGGGCUCUUACAGGUAUUUGCGAAGUUUCCGUAGCAAGAAAGAACAAUUAAAGCAGAUUACAAAUUUUUUUUUUUAUGACGAAGAAGAGUUGCAACCCUAUUUCAAGUUAUAGGAAAGAUUUAGUGUUGACCUCUCCUGAAAAUUUUAAUCUUUUUUUAAAAUAUACGCAAUGAAUUUUAAGACAAAUGUUCUGUAGCACUUAUUCUUUGUAUUAUUUAAUGAAUAUUCAGUUUUGUAUAAAAAUUUAUAUGUACUUUUCAGAAAGUUUUACAAAAAGUUUACCCUGAUGAGUGCAUCAAAAUGUAAUGACAAUUGUAUUGAUUAUCUUUUAAAUAAAGUGAAUUUUAUAAACCACCUUAAACUACUAUAUUCCUGAACAAAUCACUCUUUGAUGAAUUCAGGUAUAAUUCAAUCGAAAAUUCGAAUUCUCAUACUUGCUCUGUUGCAA